GUUCGGGUGGCCUAGUGGUUAGAGCGCCUGCCUCAAAUUCGGGAGGUCGAGGAUACGAACCCCGGCCGAGUA